rnacentral:rRNA from 1 species
AUACGGAGGUUGCAAGCGUUACUCGGAAUCACUGGGCGUAAAGCGCGCGCAGGCGGUCUUUUAAAUUGGAUGUGAAAGCCUACGGCUCAACCGUAGAACUGCAUCCAAAACUAUUAGACUAGAGUGUGGGAGAGGAAGAUGGAAUUAGUUGUGUAGGGGUAAAAUCCGUAGAGAUAACUAGGAAUACCAAAAGCGAAGGCAAUCUUCUGGAACACUACUGACGCUGAGGCGCGAAAGCGUGGGGAGCAAACAGGAUUAGAAACCCCUGUAGUCC